rnacentral:rRNA from 1 species
CAGCCGCCGCGGGAAUACGAAGGGUGCAAGCGUUACUCGGAAUUACUGGGCGUAAAGCGUGCGCAGGCGGUUUGUUAAGACAGAUGUGAAAUCCCCGGGCUCAACCUGGGAACUGCAUUUGUGACUGGCAAGCUAGAGUAUGGCAGAGGGGGGUGGAAUUCCGCGUGUAGCAGUGAAAUGCGUAGAUAUGCGGAGGAACACCGAUGGCGAAGGCAGCCCCCUGGGCCAAUACUGACGCUCAUGCACGAAAGCGUGGGGAGCAAACAGGAUUAGAUACCCGCGUAGUCCCUGUCUCUUAUAC